UAGCGAAACGGCCCGCAAGGGCCGUCGCCGGGGCGUGGCGGCUCCGGCCUGAUGAGCAGCCGAAG
rnacentral:hammerhead_ribozyme from 1 species